rnacentral:rRNA from 1 species
UUGUGCUUGCUUGUCUUGCGCUCUCACUGCUCUGACGGAUGCUUUUAUUAGACCAAACCGCUGAGGACUUGAGGGUUCGCCUUCUAGUUCGACUCGUGCGAUGGUGACUCUGGAUAACCUUGACGAGCGCACGUACUCCUCUUCUGAGCGAGACGGCGCUGCCACUUUCGAGUGUCUGCCUUAUCAGCUAUCAACCGUUCGUUAUGCGCGACCGAUGGCUUUGACGGGUAACGGGGAAUCAGGGUUCGAUUCCGGAGAGGCAGCCUGAGAGACGGCUACCACGUCCAAGGACGGCAGCAGGCACGCAAAUUACCCAAUCCCAGCAAAUGGGGGAGGUAGUGACGAAAUCUAACGAUGCGGGCGCCCUUUCUGGGGCCCCGCAAUCGGAAUGGGCACUUUCUAAACAACCUGUUGAGAACCUACUGAAGGGCAAGUCUGGUGCCAGCAGCCGCGGUAAUUCCAGCUUCAGCAGCAUCUAUUAAAGUUGCUGCGGUUAAAAGGCUCGCAGUUGAAUGUCUGUAUCGAGCGCAGGUCAGGUGGACGUUGGGGCGUGGAAGUACGGGCAGUUGGAUGUUCGGAGGGCAUUCGUGCUCGAUGGCUCCUUCGGCUUUUCCACACACCCCCGUCCGUGACAAGCCUCCUCGCUCGGGUACAUAACGGGAAUCGGUCAAACGGAGUGUGGUCGGGAGUUGAGGUGCGUGGUUUCGGCUGCGUGCUCCUUCUUUCGGCUGCGUCAAGCUCCAUCGGUUUCACGGUCACCUUGAGUAAAUCAGAGUGCUCAAAGCAGUCGUAGGGGCCUUGCGCCCUGUGAACAGUCUUGACGGACUGACUU